rnacentral:tRNA from 1 species
CGGAAUGUGGCGCAGUUGGCAGCGCGCGCGGCUGGGGGCCGCGAGGCCGUGGGUUCGAGUCCCGCCAUUCCGA